rnacentral:rRNA from 1 species
UACGGGGGGUGCGAGCGUUAAUCGGAAUAACUGGGCGUAAAGGGCACGCAGGCGGACUUUUAAGUGAGGUGUGAAAUCCCGGGGCUUAACCUGGGAAUUGCAUAUCAUACUGGGAGUCUAGAGUACUUUAGGGAUGAGUAGAAUUCCACGUGUAGAGGUGAAAUUCGUAGAGAUGUGGAGGAAUACCGAAGGCGAAGGCAGCUCCGUGGGAAGGUACUGACGCUCAUGUGCGAAAGCGUGGGGAGCAAACAGG